rnacentral:tRNA from 1 species
AGUGGCGUAGCGGUCUAACGCAUUUCCAGAUAAAGGAGACAGCCGUGGGUUCGAAUCCCACCU